rnacentral:rRNA from 1 species
AUUGAACGCUGGCGGCAUGCCUUACACAUGCAAGUCGAACGGUAACAGGUCUUCGGAUGCUGACGAGUGGCGAACGGGUGAGUAAUACAUCGGAACGUGCCCAGUCGUGGGGGAUAACUACGCGAAAGCGUAGCUAAUACCGCAUACGAUCUAUGGAUGAAAGCGGGGGAUCGCAAGACCCCGCGCAGUUGGAGCGGCCGAUGGCAGAUUAGGUAGUUGGUGGGGUAAAGGCGCACCAAGCCGACGAUCUGUAGCUGGUCUGAGAGGACGACCAGCCACACUGGGACUGAGACACGGCCCAGACCCCUACGGGAGGCAGCAGUGGGGAAUUUUGGACAAUGGGCGCAAGCCUGAUCCAGCCAUGCCGCGUGCAGGAUGAAGGCCUUCGGGUUGUAAACUGCUUUUGUACGGAACGAAAAGUCUCUUUCUAAUAAAGAGGGAUCAUGACGGUACCGUAAGAAUAAGCACCGGCUAACUACGUGCCAGCAGCCGCGGUAA